rnacentral:lncRNA from 1 species
GUUUAGGCUUUUCUGGCUCUUUAGGCUUUUCUGGUUCCUUAGGCUUCUCAGGCUCUUUAGGCUUUUCCGGGGCUUUAGGUUUCUCAGGCUCCUUAGGCUUCUCGGGAGCUUUGGGUUUCUCAGGCUCUUUAGGCUUCUCCGGAGCUUUUGGUUUCUCGGGUUCCUUAGGCUUCUCCGGAGGUUUAGGCUUAGGAUCCUCCAAAAUCUCAAUACUCUUAAUAUAUUUACCACCUCUGUAACAAAGCUUGUCACGAAUCUUCUCAGGGCUGCAGCAUACCACCUUAAUUCUGACUCUACUACCCUUCUCAUCAUAUAUCUGGUCCCUAAUUUCUACAAACCAAAAAUCCCACACCACAUAAAAUAUCUCAGUUCACAUCCACAAAAAUAAAUACAGCUAAUAAAAAGGAACAUUUUAAAAAGCAAA